GGCCUGGAGCUUUAUCGGGAUGCAUAGUCAUAAUGGCAUGCUCAAUCUCAGCAUUAGUGAUGGAUUGGACUGAGGACGAAGUUUGAACCUGAGAUAAAGGAGACAUGAUAAUCAGAUAAUCCAACUGAGGAACCUCAUUAUCAACUAUCUAACGAUUAUGAAAAUGAUCAAGUAAUGUAUUUUGAAUGGUCAAAGAAUCAUUAAUAAUGUCACUGUGAGGG
rnacentral:lncRNA from 1 species